rnacentral:lncRNA from 1 species
AUUGUUUUUCCUUUUAUGUGCAAUAGGAUAUUUGAAUUUUCUUUCCUCUCUUAUUUUUUGUACUUGUAGAACAUGCAACCAGAAAACUCAAGUUAAAAAAAAUAAAUAAGGAAGUGAAAAGAUUUUCUUUGAUCAGGAUUGAGGCUCUACCAGUUCUUUCCCUGAGAACAGCAGAAAAGAUGUGAAGCUCUGCAAAUCUUUGGUGCUAUAUAAAUGUCAUCAUCAUCAUCAUCAUCAUCAUCAUCAUCAUCAUCAUCAUCAUCAUCAUAUUUGUGUCCUACAGUCACUUCUGGGUGCUGAAGACUCUUGGGGACCUCAACUCUUCCUCUCUUUGAGUGGCGAUGUUCCUGGGAAGCAUAAUCUUUGUUCAGAGAGAGUUCAUCCCACUGAAACAAACUGUAUGGUAUAUAUGAAUAACGUGGUAUAGAGGCCUUUCCCAUGGUCUUUUAUUAUCAUUGAAAUGUUAAUAUCUAUAUAUCUAGCACAUUGUAUUGGCUUGAGAUUUUGAGUUCUG